rnacentral:tRNA from 2 species
GGGGGUAUAGCUCAGUCGGUUAGAGCAGCAGACUCAUAAUCUGUUGGUCCGGGGUUCAAGUCCCUGUACCCCCACAA